AGGCACGACUCUUGCCACAGAAAC
rnacentral:miRNA from 1 species